UUAAUCAAGUUUGGGGGGAUUUCUGAUGUAACAUGUUACAAAUGAAGAACAUAGCAAAAAGAGUGCAGAGACCACCAUUUUCCGGAAACAACUAGCGUGAGCAUUAACUGACACUCAAAUGACGUGACAGGUGUUAGUAGUAACAAAAAUAUCCAAACAUACUCCUUCAUUUUCUUUGUGAUGAAAUCUCACCAAACUGUAAAUAUCCGAAAAUGAAGAUCACCUCAGAAUGAAGGGAAAACAGUAAGGACAAGAUGAACAAAAAUCAGGAUAAAGAAGCCUAGGCUGGAUAUAGAUGUUCUGUGUGCACCACAGAGAUGCUUGCCUCAACCAACAACCUGAACAUGCAAAGAAAAAGCUACUCCAUAUGUCAUCCCUGCCUCUUCACCAGGUUUUUGUGUCUUCGGGUUAGCCUAAGAGGAAAAAGAACACUUAGUUUCUGUAAGCAACAAGAAAUACAUCAAAGGAACAGUCUUGCAAGCCAGGAAUGCUGACAUCAAAUAAUUUUCUGUCCCUCUGCAGACUAAUCAGUCAUGAUGAGCCAGCUUUGAGCAAAACAACAGGAAGGGGAAGGAAGUGAGCCUCCAGGCCGCCCAAAUUGGUUCCUCAUCAGCCCACCCUUUGGUGCUUGGGGUAUCAUUAAAUAUAAGCUUCACAAUUAGUUCUGAUUGAUGCUACAUCUUAAUGGGUUCCACAGUACUGUCUGAGAAUAGUGUAGUUUUCCAAGUGUAGCCUGGUAUGCUUGAUAGCCAGGAACACCAUUUGAACGAUAUUAAGGAAACCACAAAAAACUGGAUUAGAUGCAAAAGGAUUGAUCCCACUUUCUGAGGAAUUUGCCUUAUGAGUCAUCACUAAGAUUGCUUGUUAUAAAAUAUUUGGAGAAAAAGAUAAUUAUUUACUCUCAACCCACUCCCCUGUCAUUUCCCAGGUUUGAGCAAGUAUAUGCUCACAGGAACUUAAGUCUGUCAUGACCACUUGAGAAUGAGGCAGUUGAUUGAUCAGUUUUCUGAAGUGAUAAUUUCUUUGUUUAGUUGUUGGUGUCAUCCUAAGUGACCUCUGGGGGCAGAGGAGGGUGGUCUGAAAACCAGCUGAAACACAAGUUUACAUUUGCUCCAGGUACCCUUGAUAGGAGCAUACGAUCUGUCUAUCCAUCCCCUUAGAUCAAAACACCCACUGGAUAAAACUUUUAUCCAUUUUCAGACAUUGCAGAUGAAUGAAUAUGUAAUGGCUUAGAAAGAGUCACAAUUCUCACAAUCAAAACUACAAUGACAUAUAUUGCACCCCAGUUAAAAUGGCUUUUAUCCAGAAGACUAGCAAUAACAAAUGCUGGUGAGAAUAUGAAGAAAUGAGAACUCUCAUAAACUUGGUGGGAACGUAAAUUAGUAUAUCUGCAUGGAGAAGAGUAUGGAGGUUCCUCAAAAAUCAGAUUUGACAUACACACAGAAAAAAAACAGAACUAUAUUAUUCAGAAGAGAAAUGAACUAUACAAUUCCUUCUCAAAUAAGGAAGAGAAGGACUCUAUUUGGUAAAGGAGUGGAGUAUGGCAGGAGGCUCAGCUGAGUCGGAGGAAGCCACACUGCCAGGUGUGGGAGUAGCCAAUGAAGACAACAAGCCAAAACGAGAAACAGUCAAGCCUCCCAUCACUUAUUGCCAUAAUACAAGCAAGAGGCUAACCUGGAGAAAUCACCAUUUCCCCUGUUCCGUGUCCUCCCCAGGAAUGGCACCAGAAGAGGGUCAGGAGGAAUAGUUCAGGCGUGAAAAUUAUAUCAAUUGAAGUGAGACCGGUAGACCUCUCGACAUAUAACGACUCAGCGAUUCCAUCCAAACCCCUGCACUAAGAGAUGACCAAACUCUAGAAUGGCUUCUAUAAUAGCAGUAUAAGGCUGUGUUCCUGGGAUGACCCCAGCUCUCCCCCUACUCUACAUCCUCCCCUUUCCCCUUAUAAUGUCGGCCUGAGAAAGCUCAAUGUUGCCAAAUGAAUUUACUAUUUGUUCCAUCAAAAACCUGCUGAUAAGCAGAUAGGCUGUGGAAAACCAUCUUGGAGAAGCUACUUCAAAAGACUGCUCCAUUCAGGCUGCUAUAACAAAUACCAUCGACCGUGUGGCUUUUAAGAAACACAAAUGUAUUUCUCACCAUGCUGGAGGCUGGAAGUCUGUGAUCACAGUGGUGCCUGUUGAGAGCCCUCUUCCAGGUUGCAGGCUGCGGUCUUUUCAUUGUAUCCUCACAUGGUGAAAGGGAUAAGGAGGUUUUCAGGUGUUUCCUUUGUAAGGGUUGUAAUCCCAUUUAUGAGGACUCUACCCUAAUAAUCUCAUUAACUUCAAAGACCUCACUUCUUAACACCAUCAUAGUGGGAAAGAGGUCUCAACAAAUAAAUUUUAGAAGUACACAAAUGUUCACUCCAUAGGCAGCUUGCAAUUAUGUAUCUUUUUUUUUUAAUCUCUUGUAAUGGACGUGAAGCUAACACUCUAAACUGUUUCUUCAAGGACCUGAGAGCUAUCUCUGAAAUGCAAACAUUCAGGGAGAUAACUUGUUCUUUCACCCAGUCUCUGUGGGAGGACGGGGACUAACUCCUGUGGGUCUGUGCCUCCUUGUCACCUGUCAUUAUCCCUAGGUGAUGAGAUGGCUCACUAGAAUUAUCUCCAAAAAGCAAAAUUAAAAAUGAAACAGGGUACCAGGAUGAGUAAAACACAGCUUAUCUUGGGUUUCUAGUAUCAUCUAAGGGAGUUACUGAAACACACUACUAAUGCCUCAUGAUACUAGAUAAAAUUUAUUGGGGAUAAAUCAAGAAGGGAUGUAGCACAGUGCAUGCUUUUCCUUAUUAUUCUACAGCCUUAUGUUGGACAUAGUUGUUCUUUAUGCAGUUUCACUGAGAUCACAACAGAUAUAGUUUGGCUCUGUAUCCCCACCCAAAUCUCAUCUCGAAUUAUAAUCCCCGUGUGUGGAGGAAGGGAGGUGGUUGAAUCAUGGUGUUGGUUUUCCUCAUGCUGUUCUCAUGAUAGUGAGUGAGCUCUCAUGAGAUCUGAUGGUUUUAUAAGUGUGUGGAAAUUCCUCCUUCACUCUCCUCUCUUGCAUGCUGCCAUGUAAGAUGUGCCUGCUUCCCCUUCUGCCAUGAUUGUAAGUUUCCUGAGUCUUCCCCAGCUGUGAGUCAAUUAAACCUCUUUUCUUUAUAAAUUAUUCAGUCUCGGGUAUGUCUUUAUAGCAGUGUGGAAAUGUACUAAUUCA
rnacentral:lncRNA from 1 species